rnacentral:rRNA from 1 species
UACAGAGGUCUCAAGCGUUGUUCGGAUUCAUUGGGCGUAAAGGGCUCGUAGGCGGCCAACUAAGUCAGACGUGAAAUCCCUCGGCUUAACCGGGGAACUGCGUCUGAUACUGGAUGGCUUGAGUUCGGGAGAGGGAUGCGGAAUUCCAGGUGUAGCGGUGAAAUGCGUAGAUAUCUGGAGGAACACCGGUGGCGAAGGCGGCAUCCUGGACCGACACUGACGCUGAGGAGCGAAAGCCAGGGGAGCAAACAGG